AUAAUCUGCAGUAAAUGAGGUUGC
rnacentral:siRNA from 1 species